UGUCCCUUAGUAUUUAAAUGUUUUCUGCAUGCAGAUUUUAAAUGCUUCUUUAUCACUAAAUAUUUUAUUUUCUGUUGCUAUUGUAAAUAAGGUCUUCUCUAUUAUGUCUUCUGGUUGGUUAUUUUUAUAUACUAAAGCACCAGAUUUGUAUUGGUAUUUGGCAUUAAUUUCAUACCCAGGUGCUUGACUGAAUUCACUUAUUUAUUUAGAUUGUUAAAUUGAUUAGGGGUGGAAAUUCUAGUAUACAAUUAUAUCUAAAUAACAAUGAUUUUACCUUCUUUCCAAUGUUUAAACAUAUAUUUCUCUCAUUGAAUUUUUUUUUUUUAAGACAGAGUUUCACUCUUGUUGUGCAGCUGGAGUGCAAUGGCAGGCUGGAGUGCAAUGGCACCGUCUCAGCUCACUGCAACCUCCAACUCCCAGAUUCAAGCGGUUCUCCUGCCUCAGCCUCCCAAAUAGCUGGGAUUAUAGCAGGAUGGGCCGCAGGCAAAACCCCUCAGACACCGGCUGAAAGAGGGAAGAGGCUUUAUUUGGCUGGGAACCUUGGCAGACUUGCAUCUCAAGAACCAAGCUCCCUGAAGAAAAAAUUCCUGGCCCUUUUGAGAGGUGAAGCCAGCUGGACUUCCUGGGUUGAGUGGGGACUUGCAGAACUUUUCUGUCUAGCUAGAGGAUUGCAAACGCACCAGUCAGCACUCUGUGUCUAGCUAAAGGAUUGUAAACACACCAAUCAGCACUGUGUAAAAAUGCACCAAUCAGUGCUCUGUGUCUAGCUAAAGGACUAUAGACGCACCAAUCAGCACUCUGUAAAAAUGCACCAAUCAGCACUCUGUGUCUAGCUAAAGGAUUGUAAACACACCAAUCAGCACUCUAUAAAAGCGCACCAAUCAGCGCACUGUGUCUAGCUAAAGGAUUGUAAACGCACCAAUCAGCAUUCUGUGUCUAGCUAAAGGAUUGUAAACGCACCAAUCAGCACUCUGUAAAAAUGCACCAAUCAGCACUUGGCAUCUAGCUAAAGGAUUGUAAGUGCACCAAUCAGCACUCUGCAAAAACACAUCAAUCAGCACUCUGUGUCUAACUAAGGGAUUAAAUGCACCAAUCAGAACUCUGUAAAAAUGCACCAGUCAGCACUCUGUAAAAUGGACCAAUCAGCACUCUGUAAAAUGGACCGAUCAGCAGGACAUGGGUGGGGACAAAUAAGGGAAUAAAAGCUGGCCACCCCCAGCCAGCAGCAGCAACAUGCUCAGGUCCCUUUCCAUGCUGUGGAAGCUUUGUUCUUUCGCUUUUCACAAUAAAUCUUGCUGCUGCUGACUCUUUGGGUCCACACCACCUUUAAGAGUUGUAACACUCGCUGUGAAGGUCCGCAGCUUCAUUCUUGAAGUCAGUGAGACCAAGAACCCACCAGAGGGAACCAAGUCUGGACACACUUUUAAGGGCUUACAACUCUAUGGGGGUCUACGUGAAAGAUAUCCAGCAAGUGAUCUAUAGGUAAUACACAUAGUUAGAGUGGGGGGUUAAUCUUUAACCUCAGGCCUGGUCAGUGGCGCCGGUUGGUCUUGCCGCUGACUUCAUUUCUGUUGUUUUUCAGCUUUUACUUCCUCCUUCUCUUCAGGGACAGGAAACAGUAAGAGAAAUGGCGUAUCUCCUCAGCUUAAGAUAGUACUUGCCAGGCACAGUGGCUCACACCUGUAAUCCCAGCACUUUGGGAGGCUGAGGUGGGUGGAUCAUGAGGACAGGAGUUCAAGACCAUCCCCACCAACAUGGUGAAAACCCCGUCUCCACUAAAAAUACAAAGAUUAGGUGGGCGUGGUGGUGCGCGCAUGUAAUCCCAGCUACUCAGGAGGCUGAGGCAGGAGAAUUGCUUGAACCUGGGAGGUGAAGGUUGGAGAACUGCUUGAACCUGGGAGGCGAAGGUUGUAGUGAGCCAAGAUCGCGGCAUUGCGCUCUAGCCUGGGCGACAGAGCAAGACUCCAUCCCCCAAAAAAAAAAAAGUGCUUAUCUUGUCCAUAACUUAGCAGGAGUGUUUCAAUAUUAUAUCCAUGCUGUUUCCAUAUUAAACAGAUUCUUUGUGGUUGAGAUAAAUAUAUUUCAUUAUGCUAACCAAGUAUUUGUAUACUUCUGUUAAGAACUUACAUCAAGUAUGAAUAUGGAAUUUUUCUUUUUUUAUAUGGAAUUUUUCCAAUGUCUUUGAUAGCUUUUUUAGACAUGAGUACAGUUAUGUGCUGCAUGAUGAUGUUUUGGUAACAAUGGACCAUGUAUACCGUGGUGGUCCCAUAAGAUUAUAAUGGAGCUGAAAAACUCCUAUCACCUAGUGCUAUCGUAGCCAUCAUAACGCAAUGCAUUACUCACGUGUUUGUGAAGAUGUUGGUGUAAAGAAACCUACAGAACUGCCAGUCAUCUAAAAGUAUAGCACAUACAAUCAUGUACAGCACAUAAUGAAGGGCUUGAUAAUAAAGGGAUAUGUUAUUGGC